ASSWCYGRAACUUUCCRGAGAUGGAUUGGUGCCUUCRGGAACUCGAACACAGGKGCUGCAUGGCUGUCGUCAGGUGAAACGGGAGAUGUUGGGUUAAGUCCCGCAACGAGCGCAACCCUUGAAAAAAGAGUGCCAGCACGUAAUGGUGGGAACUCUAAGGAGACCGCCGGUGACAAACCGGAGGAAGGWGGGGAUGAUUCUCUCWCAUAAWGGCCCUUACGGUUUUGGCUACACACGUACUACAAUGGUAGGGACAGAGGGCUGCAAGCCGGCGACGGUAAGCCAAUCCCAGAAACCCUAUCUCAGUCCGGAUUGGAGUCUGCAACUCGACUCCAUGAAGUCSGAAUCKCUAGUAAUAGCAGAUUUUUCAUUGCUGCKGUGAAUACGUUCCCGGGUCUUGUMKACMCCGA
rnacentral:rRNA from 1 species